rnacentral:lncRNA from 1 species
AACAAGUUUGGUUAAGACAAUUAACGAGCAAAUGCAAGUUGUAUAAAAACUUAAUAAUUGAUAUCCGAAGUUUUAUGUUUGAAGCUUAAUUACUUUAUAUUGCUAACUGAGUUUAUUCCUUAAAAAUGAACGAUUCAAUUAGUAGUGUGUGUUGUGCAGUUCUAGGUUUGAUUUUGGAUGGCCAAGGCUUUAUUGACUAACGCUUUCAAUUCUGAACUAUCAAUUCGAUUCUCAAACUUUAAUUUAUUAUAAUUUUUUACUUAAACUUUUUUUAAAUCAUAGCAUCAGUUGAAUAACGUAGCAGUGAUAAUACAUCUUGUUCAUUAUCGUGUCAUAAACUACAACAUUACCACAUCAUUUCUACAUCAGUGAUACACGUACCACUAUAUAAUAUUUAGUUAUCAUAUUUAUGAACUUUUUUU